AUGGCCAGGCUGUCUCCACCCGAGACUCAGUGAAAUUGAACUCGCUGUGAAGAUGCAGUGUACCCGCGGCAAGACGGAAAGACCCCGUGAACCUUUACUAUAGCUUGACACUGAACAUUGAGCCUUGAUGUGUAGGAUAGGUGGGAGGCUUUGAAGUGUGGACGCCAGUCUGCAUGGAGCCGACCUUGAAAUACCACCCUUUAAUGUUUGAUGUUCUAACGUUGACCCGUAAUCCGGGUUGCGGACAGUGUCUGGUGGGUAGUUUGACUGGGGCGGUCUCCUCCUAAAGAGUAACGGAGGAGCACGAAGGUUGGCUAAUCCUGGUCGGACAUCAGGAGGUUAGUGCAAUGGCAUAAGCCAGCUUGACUGCGAGCGUGACGGCGCGAGCAGGUGCGAAAGCAGGUCAUAGUGAUCCGGUGGUUCUGAAUGGAAGGGCCAUCGCUCAACGGAUAAAAGGUACUCCGGGGAUAACAGGCUGAUACCGCCCAAGAGUUCAUAUCGACGGCGGUGUUUGGCACCUCGAUGUCGGCUCAUCACAUCCUGGGGCUGAAGUAGGUCCCAAGGGUAUGGCUGUUCGCCAUUUAAAGUGGUACGCGAGCUGGGUUUAGAACGUCGUGAGACAGUUCGGUCCCUAUCUGCCGUGGGCGCUGGAGAACUGAGGGGGGCUGCUCCUAGUACGAGAGGACCGGAGUGGACGCAUCACUGGUGUUCGGGUUGUCAUGCCAAUGGC
rnacentral:rRNA from 1 species